rnacentral:rRNA from 1 species
CACGUAGGGCGCAAGCGUUGUCCGGAAUUAUUGGGCGUAAAGAGCUCGUAGGCGGUCUGUUGCGUCCGCUGUGAAAUCUCGGGGCUUAACCCCGAGCCUGCAGUGGAUACGGGCAGACUAGAGGUAGGUAGGGGAGAAUGGAAUUCCCGGUGUAGCGGUGAAAUGCGCAGAUAUCAGGAGGAACACCGGUGGCGAAGGCGGGUCUCUGGGCCGAUACUGACGCUGAGGAGCGAAAGCGUGGGGAGCGAACAGG